GAUCUUACUGAUGUAUAGUGAGGAGCUAUCCCACAUGCUCUAUGCUGCAGCAGACAUGGUGUUAGUUCCAUCCAUAUAUGAACCAUGUGGCCUUGCCCAAAUGAUUGGAAUGCAUUAUGGAGCGGUCCCAGUUGUUAGAAAGACUGGUGGUCUUG